rnacentral:rRNA from 1 species
GACGAACGCUGGCGGCGUGCCUAACACAUGCAAGUCGAGCGAAUGAAAUUCCUUCGGGAAUGGAUUUAGCGGCGGACGGGUGAGUAACACGUGGGCAACCUGCCUCAUAGAGGGGAAUAGCCUUCCGAAAGGGAGAUUAAUACCGCAUAAGAUUGUAGUAUCGCAUGAUACAGCAAUUAAAGGAGCAAUCCGCUAUGAGAUGGGCCCGCGGCGCAUUAGCUAGUUGGUGAGGUAACGGCUCACCAAGGCGACGAUGCGUAGCCGACCUGAAAGGGUGAUCGGCCACAUUGGGACUGAGACACGGCCCAGACUCCUACGGGAGGCAGCAGUGGGGAAUAUUGCACAAUGGGGGAAACCCUGAUGCAGCAACGCCGCGUGAGUGAUGACGGCCUUCGGGUUGUAAAGCUCUGUCUUCAGGGACGAUAAUGACGGUACCUGAGGAGGAAGCCACGGCUAACUACGUGCCAGCAGCCGCCGUAAGAC